rnacentral:rRNA from 1 species
UACGGAGGGUGCAAGCGUUAAUCGGAAUUACUGGGCGUAAAGCGCGCGUAGGCGGCCUUCUAAGUCGAACGUGAAAUCCCCGGGCUCAACCCGGGAACUGCGUCCGAUACUGGAAGGCUUGAAUCCGGGAGAGGGAUGCGGAAUUCCCGGUGUAGUGGUGAAAUGCGUAGAUAUCGGGAGGAACACCAGUGGCGAAGGCGGCAUCCUGGCCCUGUCCUGACGCUCAGGGGCGAAAGCGUGGGGAGCAAAGCCGG